rnacentral:rRNA from 1 species
CGGGAGGGCAGGGCUUCACGGCUCGGCUUGACUGAAACCGGAGUACCGCUAACAGCUCUACAUAGAACUUAUAAAGGCUAGGGGAAUCCAACUGUAUAAUUAAAACAUAGCGAUUUGUUGGUGCCAAAGCGUGUAAACGAAUCGUGAUUUCUGCCCAGUGCUCUGGAUGUUAAAAUGGCGAAAUCCAACCAAGCUCGGGUAAACGGCGGGAGUAACUAUGACUCUCUUAAGGUAGCCAAAUGCCUCGUCAUUUAUUUUGUGACGCGCAUGAAUGGAUUAAUGAGAUUCCCACUGUCCCUACCUACUAUCUAGCGAAACCACAGCCAAGGGAACGGGCUUGGCACAAUUAGCGGGGAAAGAAGACCCUGUUGAGCUUGACUCUAGGCACAGAAGCGAGGUGAUUCUAAAGGUGUAGCAUAGGCGGGAGGGACCUGGUCCCGCCCCUGAAAUACCGCCACUUUCGACAUUGCUUUGCUAAUGCUGUAACGAACGAACGGCCCCCUGGGUCUCCGGUUGGUCCUUUCGGGCUGGCCGGGCCUGGGUAAGGUCAUAUUCUAGCGCAUUCCUUGUCAGGCAUGACAGGCUGACCCCCCUGGGUGAGUACUUCGGAACCGCAAGCUGGGCUUCAGGGUCUGGCGAGCGCUGCUUCUGGGGGAACCGGGGACGGCUGGCUUGUCCUCUGCUUGGCUACAAAUCGGGUACGUAAGACCGUGUAGCAGACUAUCUGUGUUGGGGAGUUUGGCUGGGGCGGAAAACUGCUACACGGCAACGGCAGUCUCCUAAGGUCCGCUCAGAGACGACAGAAACGUCUCGUAGAGCAUAAAGGCAAAAGCGGGCUUAACUUACAUUUUCAGUAGUAAUGUGAAGCAAGAAAUUGAGGCUUAACGAUCCUUAGCGUCGGGUAUCAGCCCACGCUUGAGGUGAGAGAAAAGUUACCACAGGGAUAACUGGCUUGUGGCUGCCAAGCGUUCAUAGCGACGUAGCUUUUUGAUCCUUCGAUGUCGGCUCUUCCUAUCAUACUAAAGCAGAAUUCAGUAAGUGUUGGAUUGUUCACCCUCUUAAGGGAACGUGAGCUGGGUUUAGACCGUCGUGAGACAGGUUAGUUUUACCCUCCUACUUGACAACUAGGAGGGCCUUUGGCCCGGUGCGUCCCCGCAAAAGUAGAUCACCUCAGUACGAGAGGAACCGGUGAUUCAGGCCUCUGGUGGAAGCGCUGCUCGAGAGGGCAGAGCGCUAAAGCUACGCCUGUUGGAUGAAGGCUGGAAGCAUCUAAGCCCGAAGCCAUGCUUGACACGGGAUCCACUCCGCUUCUGCCUAACAAGCAGUCGUGCGUAAUAAGCCUACAGCUGCUAAUAUGCCGGGCCAGUGUAACCCCUUUGU